AGGAACGAUUCCAGAGAUGUUCAUGGCUUCCUGAAGUGAAGAAUCUGGAAACUGACCCACAGAGGGGAUGCAUCUUGUCCACCACCUCACAGCUCACUGGGGUCACGACUUAGCCUGGCACCCAGCGCCCCUGACUCUUGUGCUGGCGAUUCUGCUUCUUCCAUAUCCUACGAGGGGCUUUUGGACGGUGAGUGCUGUUCAAAGAUGGAGCAGGCUUCUGCUGGGUUUUGUCUUGGUGAGUGGUGAGACCUCCAUCAUUGGCAGUAUGGAAGACAGACUGGAUCACCUCUUGACCUCUUGGAAGGGGAUUUGAAAUUCUGUGGAGUGAUGUGGCUGUUCCCUCAUCCAUCCACCCUGGCCUGCUGAUCUUCAGAUUCUCCCAGGAGACCCAUAGAAAUUCAUGGAAGGAAUGACUGAAUGAAUGAAAAGCUACAACCUGUACUAGGCUUAUGCUGGUCCCUCCAAAUUAGAUCCAGCCCAGCCUGCUGAGUGCUGCCCGGAGAAGGACUGUCCAAAUCAGUGCAAAAGGCACCUCUCAGCUUCCGUCAGCUUGUUCAUCCAGGAGAGGCUCCAUCUUCGAGGUCAGCUUACCCUCUGGAGAGAGAGGGAUCCCGAAUCAGAGAUGAAGCACCUUACGAGAAUGACGCCUGGAUGGAACACAAUAAGGAGAGGAAAGGGAGAGAGACAGACCUCAUCACUACAAGGUUAUUAGGCUUCAAGACAGCAAAUUUGAGAGAAUUAAGAAAUCUAAUCAGCCUGGUGCACUAAGAGGGAAGUUGCAAACUCCCGGGUGUGGAAGAAAGCCGGAGUAUCCUGAGGGAGAUCCUAAUUAAAGCACCGCCGAUUACAAUUCCUCUGAAAAAGGAAAGUGAAAGGACCAAGAAACAUCUGCUGUGGAUUCAUGAAGGACUGCUCAAGGAUGCAGAGUGUGAGAAAAACUCUUGACAGCGCUGAAGAGGCACAGCGCCUGUUUGUUCUCCAUCGGGCAAAGCUGGUGGAGAUGGGGCCUGGCAAUGCAGAGGCUGUGGUUUAGGAUUGUUUUAGCUGAUGGGGCAUCGUAAAAGGGAAAGGAGACAAGACUCCCUGUGCAGCCCAGAAUGGCCAAAUCAUCCCUGCAGUUCUCCUCGGGUUGCCUGGCAACCCCCUCUCAAGGGUUGGCUCCGGGCCCGUUCCCUGCUAUAUCCCUAAAAAGAAGUUUAGACCUGACUCGCGUAAGUGCUCAGAUUUCCUAGAUGUACCCUUGGAAUUGCUGAGCUGGAAGAGAACUCAGAAGUCGUACAACCCAAUCUCCCACAAAUAUAGAAACAGAAAGUGUAAAAGCCCAGAGCCACACCCAUGGAGGUGUAGCUGAAGGCCUAUGCCAUCGCCACAGCAACGCUGGAUCUGAGCUGCAUCUGCAGUCGAUGCCUCAGCUUGUGAAAACAUGGGAUCCUAAACCCACUGGACGAGGGCGAGGAUUGAACCUUCAUCCUCAUGGACACUAGUUGGGUUCUUAAUCUGCUGAGCCACAGUGAGAACUGAAGAGACCCUAUCUCACAACGGAAGCCGAUAAUGAUGAGUGCUCACUUCUUCAAAUUCUCUUGUAUUUAUGGCAAGAGCAAAUGAACCCCUUUAAGGAUUUUCCUCCCUAAUGAAGAGAGAUGCCUCAGUGUCACACAGCUGCCUCUAGGUUUUUGUGGCUUCUCAAAAUUCUUCUGAAGACAGGAUGCGAAACACAUGCUCCAAGGAACCUUCCUCCCACAGAGACCCUUGAUCUGUCUUGGACACAGAGAUGAAGUGUCUGGGGAAUGUAAGCAGGGCACAGAGACAGCAUCUGGACAGUCCCUCCUCCUGGAAGGAGAAAGGCACCUCCAGUUAAUGAGGACAUGGCAGCAAGAUACUGGACACAGCACAUGGAGUGCCCCGGCCAGGGAUCAGAUCUGGGCGACAAUUGCGACGGAUGCCCCAGCUGUGGCAACAACGGAUCCUUAACCUUCUGUGCCAGGCUGGGGAUCAAACGUGCGUCCCAGUGCUCCAGAGGUGCCACUGAUCCCAUUGCAUCACAGUGGGAACUCCUGGUCCUGGCUCUUCUGAAAUAGUCUGGACAAUCAGCAUAGUCCAUAAAUGUACACAGUCUCUGGGCAUGCGAGAUAAAACCUUAAAACAUUAUCCUGCUACUUCAUGCAAGCCAGUCUUGGAGACAACUUUCUGUUACAACAAGUGCAUCAGAAUUUAUAGAAGCACAAGAACGAGGGAAUCAUCUAAAUGUGCAACAAGAGACUAGCCAAAAAAUGGACCACACCCGCGGCCGGCCUACGCCACAGCCACAGCAACGUGGGAUCCAAGCCAUGUCUUCGGUCUACACCACAGUCAGGGCAACACCAGAUCCUUAACCCACUGAGCGAGACCAGGGAUUGAAACCCGCGACCUCAGGGUUCCCAUUCGGAUUUGUUUCCACGGAACUCCACCAAAAGGAUGAUAAUGGUAUCAACAUCACUGAAUUGUUCGGAGGAUUUACUAUAAAGCCGUUAGAAUGAUGCCAGGCCCGCAGGAAACAACAGGUAAUUGCAGUUUCUCCUAUCAAUGAAAACUACACCCAUGCCUUUAGAAGACCCGUUUUAUGGUUUAACUAUUACCUAGCUUCACAAUAUGGCUGACUCCUUUUGAAAUAUACAAAUAAGACCCAAUCUUUGAGCCACUGACUUUUAGAGAUGGAUGAUUUAGAGCCCCUGUGGCAUAAGGACCAAUUUCAUGCAAGAUGCUCCAGCAAACUGUUCCUCAAUACUUGCUCCACAACAAGCCCUUUGCCAGACAUCCUGGAGGAGAGAGAGAGAAGACAGAAAGUGUACCUGCUCUAGGAGAACUUGUGCUGUAAUAGGCAGCCCUGAAAGCCCCAUUAGAAACUCCUUCGCAGAACUGAUUCAAAAAUUCAGCUCUAUGGAGUUCCUGUUGUGCUCUGUGGAUUAAGAAACCUACACGUAGUAUCCGCGAAGAUACAGUUUCCAUCCCUGGCUUUGCUCAGUGGAUUAAGGAUCUGGCACUGUCGCAGACUGCUGUGUAAUUUGCAGAGGCAGCUCAGAUUCAGCCUUGCUGUGGCCCUGGUAUAGGCUGGCAGCUGCAGUUCUUACUUCACCCCUAGCCUGGGAACUUCUAUAUGCUGCAGGUGCCGCCAUAAAAAGAAAAAAAA
rnacentral:lncRNA from 9 species